AUCAUAAUAAUAUAUGUUCGUCGUAUAAUAUUGGGGAUAUGGCCCAAAAGUUUCUACCGAGCUGCCGUUAACAGCUUGACUACGAUGUGAUUGAAAAGGCUG
rnacentral:ncRNA from 2 species